rnacentral:rRNA from 1 species
UACAGAGGUGGCAAGCGUUGUUCGGAAUUACUGGGCGUAAAGGGCGCGUAGGCGGCCUUGUAAGUCUCGUGUGAAAGCCCUCGGCUUAACUGAGGAUCUGCACGGGAUACUGCGAGGCUUGAGUUCGGGAGAGGAAAGCGGAAUUCCGGGUGUAGCGGUGAAAUGCGUAGAUAUCCGGAGGAACACCAGUGGCGAAAGCGGCGGACUGGGCACCUUCUGACGCUGAGGCGCGAAAGCCAGGGGAGCAAACGGG